rnacentral:miRNA from 1 species
AUCAUCUGGGGAUCUUGUUAAAAUUCUGGUUUAGUAGGUCAGAGGUGGGGCCUGAGAGUCUGCAUUUCUAAGAAGUUCCCAGGUGAUGC